UUUGAGAGCUUGAUCCUGACUCAGGAUUAACGCUAGCAGGAUGCAUAAUACAUGCAAGUCGAACGGGGUAGCAAUACCUAGUGGCGAACGGGUGAGUAAUACAUAUUUAAUCUACCGUUGAGUGAAGAAUAACAAUUUGAAAAAAUUGCUAAUACUUCAUAGGAAAUUUGUUUCAUGAAUAGGUUUUUAAAGUUCCGUUUGGAACGCCCAACGAUGAGAGUAUGUUUUAUCAGAUAGUUGGUGAGAUAAAAGCCCACCAAGUCGAUGACGAAUAGCUGUGCUGAGAGGCAAAACAGCCACAAUGGAACUGAGACACGGUCCAUACUCCUACGGGAGGCAGCAGUAGGGAAUUUUUCACAAUGGGCGAAAGCCUGAUGGAGCAAUCCUGCGUGAAUGAUGAAGGUCUUUUGAUUGUAAAAUUCUUUUAUUAGGGAUGAAUGACAUAAGAAGGAAAUGUCUCAUGUUUGACCCAACCUUUUGAAUAAGUAACGGCUAACUAUGUGCCAGCAGUCGCGGUAAUACAUAGGUUACAAGCGUUAUCCGGAUUUACUGGGCGUAAAGCGAGCGCAGAUGGAUUUGCAAGUCUGAUGUUAAAGGUUAUUGCUUAACAAUAAUUUGCAUUGGAAACUGCAAUUCUAGAGUGUGAUAGGAAGUUUUAGAACUCCAUGUGGAGCGGUGGAAUGCGUAGAGAUAUGGAAGAAUACCAGUGGUGAAAACGAAAACUUAGGUCAUGACUGACAUUUAGGCUCGAAAGCGUGGGGAGCAAAUAGGAUUAGAUACCCUAGUAGUCCAUGCUGUAAACGUUGGUUGUUAGAUGUUUAUGUUUUUUUACAUAGGUGUCGUAGUUAACACGAUAAACAACCCGCCUGGGUAGUACAUUCGCAAGAAUGAAACUCAAACGGAAUUGACGGGGACCCGUACAAGUGGUGGAGCAUGUUGCUUAAUUCGACAAUACACGUUAAACCUUACCUAGGUUUGACAUCCUUCGCAAAGUCAUAGAGAUAUGAUGGAGGUUAACGGAGUGACAGGUGGUGCAUGGUUGUCGUCAGCUCGUGUCGUGAGAUGUUGGGUUAAGUCCCGCAACGAGCGCAACCCUUAUUAUUAGUUAGUUUAUCUAAUGAGACUGCUAGUGCAAACUAGAGGAAGGUAGGGACGACGUCAAAUCAUCAUGCCCCUUAUGCCUAGGGCUGCAAACGUGCUACAAUGGUUAUUACAAAGUGUUACGAAAUCGUAAGAUCAAGUCAAUCACAAAAAGAUAAUCUCAGUUCGGAUCGAAGGCUGCAAUUCGUCUUCGUGAAGUUGGAAUCACUAGUAAUCACAAAUCAGCCAUGUUGUGGUGAAUACGUUCCCGGGUCUUGUACACACCGCCCGUCAAACUAUGGGAGCCACUAAUACUUAAAACCAUUAGCAAUAAUGUCUAGAGUAGGAGCGGUGACUGGAGUUAAGUCGUAACAAGGUACCCCUACGAGAACGUGGGGGUGGAUCACCUCCUU
rnacentral:rRNA from 1 species